GGACGACGCUGGCGGCGUGCCUAACACAUGCAAGUCGAGCGGAGUCGAUCGACGGAAGCCUUCGGGCGGAAGAUGGUUGACUUAGCGGCGGAUGGGUGAGUAACGCGUGGGCAACCUGCCUCGAAGACCGGGAUAACAGACCGAAAGGGCUGCUAAUACCGGAUGUGGUCAAGGAUCCGCAUGGAUCUUUGAUUAAAGGGGAAACCCGUUUCGAGAUGGGCCCGCGUCCUAUCAGCUAGUUGGUGAGGUAAAAGCUCACCAAGGCGACGACGGGUAGCCGGCCUGAGAGGGUGACCGGCCACACUGGAACUGAGACACGGUCCAGACUCCUACGGGGGGCAGCAGUGGGGAAUCUUCCACAAUGGGCGAAAGCCUGAUGGAGCGACGCCGCGUGAGCGAAGAAGGCCUUCGGGUUGUAAAGCUCUGUCUGGAGGGACGAAGGAAGUGACGGUACCUCCGGAGGAAGCCACGGCUAACUACGUG
rnacentral:rRNA from 1 species